AUGUAAUUUCAAAGAAGACUCAUUUGGCUCUGAAACUAAGGGCUCUUAACUCUGUGACCAAAGAUUUCGAUUCUUCAAAGGAUGCUAUAGUCACUCAUUAUGUUAUCAAACUUGUAUAAUCCUGUGCCUCAAGC
ensembl:snoRNA predicted gene, 22843